rnacentral:ncRNA from 1 species
GAGUGAGGGAGUGUGAUUUUCGUGCCGGACCGUACCCACAUCCGCAGCAGGUCUCCAAGGUGAACAGCCUCUAGUCGAUGGACCAAUGUAGGUAAGGGAAGUCGGCAAAACGGAUCCGUAACCUUGGGAUAAGGAUUGGCUCUGAGGACUGAGCCGGUCGGGCUGGGGACCUGAAGCAGGAACGGCACUGCACCGGGACUGGGCGGGGCUCGCCGUUCACGCGGCGCGGCCAAGCCCGGACCAGCGUCGGGACCUUCCUGUGGAAAGCCUCAACUGCGCGGCGUCCGAGGGCUUCGUGCCCAAAGUGCUAUGCUUCGGCCGGCAAAAAAACAGUCAACUCAGAACUGGCACGGACCGGGGGAAUCCGACUGUCUAAUUAAAACAAAGCAUUGCGAUGGCCGCUGGUCGGUGUUGACGCAAUGUGAUUUCUGCCCAGUGCUCUGAAUGUCAACGUGAAGAGAUUCAUCAAAGCGCGGGUAAACGGCGGGAGUAACUAUGACUCUCUUUGGAGAGAACAAGCCGUGGUCGCGGAGUCGACAUCUCCUGCCGGGCUGGAUGCGGUGCACCAGAGAGCCUGGGCCAUGUCUUGCAGU